rnacentral:misc_RNA from 1 species
AAGUCGUAACAAGGUAACCGUAGGUGAACCUGCGGUUGGAUCAUUAUCACGUUUUAACACGUUUUAUCAACCAACGCGAACUGUUGACCCACCCCUUUAUAUAUUGAGUAAAUGUUUUCUUUGUUGUAGAGAUGAGACAAGUGUUCAAGUAACUAUAUUAGAAACAAAAUAGAUUCAAGCUGCUUUCAUUCAAGUGAUUUAUAGCUUGUGUUUUCGCUUUCUUAUCUUUAGUUACCAUGGUUUUACAAACCACAUCUUUCAAAACUAUCAAACAAUAAAGGGCGUAUUAAAUAACGAAACCACUUGAUAUUAACUAUUCUUAUAAAUUUUGAACUGACUUGUUUCUUUCUCUUCGGAGAAGAAAUUAAAAUACGAAAAAAUACAAAACAACUCUUAGCAACGGAUAUCUUGGUUCUC